GCCCUCAUAGCUCAGCGGAUUAGAGCACUUCGCUUCGGACGAAGGGGUCGGGAGUUCGAAUCUCUCUGGGGGCA
rnacentral:tRNA from 1 species